UGAGACAGUUCGGUCCCUAUCUGCCGUGGGCGUUAGAUGAUUGAGAGGGGCUGCUCCUAGUACGAGAGGACCGGAGUGGACGAACCUCUGGUGUUCGGGUUGUUAUGCCAAUAGCAUUGCCCGGUAGCUACGUUCGGAAUCGAUAACCGCUGAAAGCAUCUAAGCGGGAAGCAGGCCCCAAGAUGAGUUAUCCGAGUUUAUUCAUAAGGGCCGUUGAAGACGACGACGUUGAUAGGC
rnacentral:rRNA from 16 species